UAAAAUGGAUGCCAUACUUGCAUUAAAGAU
rnacentral:piRNA from 1 species